GCCGAGAUAGCCAAGAUGGUCAAGGCGCUUGUCUGAAGAACAAGUUAUAAAGGUUCGAGUCCUUUUCUCGGCA
rnacentral:tRNA from 1 species